AGGAUUCACAGUUUGUCUGGUUAUGCUGCUUUGUGAUGACAACUACUGUACAAUAAAUAAUAAAUGGUCAUUUUUUUGUUCAACAAUAAAUGUGAAUUCUUCUUCAUGGAAAAAUAAGACAUCCCCUGAAAAUAAGACCUAGAGCAUCUUUGGGAGCAAAAAUUAAUAUAAGACACUGUCUUAUUUCCGGGGAAACACGGUACUAUUACUUCCAUGUAUAUCAAUCUAUGGUAUGUAUAUUUACCAAUUCUGCAUGCUCUGGUGUUCUGUUUGGUGGGCAUGCUUCAAAGACAAACUGUGCUAGGUCUUACUUUUGGGGGAGGCCUUAUAUUUAGCAAUUCAGCAAAACCUCUACUAGGUCUUAUUUUCAGGAGAUGUCUUAUUUUCGGGGAAACAGGGUAGUAAGAUAACUGAGUAAGAACCAAUGCGGCCUGAGCCCUGCCACAUACACAAUGGAGGACCUUCUUAGAGCCACACUAGAGGCAUUUCUGGUCAAAAGAAAUUUGGUAUAAUGCCAAGUUUUUAACUUUGUGGGUUUUUUUUAAAAUACAUGAUAGCUGUUGUAAUGAAGUAUGAAUUUUUGAUUUACAGAUGUUAUGUUUAAUUGUGUGUUUGUGUUUUAAAAGGGUAAGUUAUUGCAUCUCAGCACUCGGAGACUGGUUGCCAUGGAGAAGUAGGCGGAGCCAACUGCCGUUUUGUUGAAGAAGUGCAGAGUGUAAAAAAGGGAUUCAGUCUGUGCUCUGAUGAGGCACAGGAAAGAUUGAUCCCAGGUUGAGGGGAUCAAGGAGACUCAAUUGUUCAUUUUUUGAGUCGGUUUAAAAUAAGUUUGAUGACUUAUUUAAUGUAGUCUGUGUAAUGUAAGGAACAGAGAAUCUGUGAUCGUAUAUCAAAGGGUGACUGCGGUGUAAAAGUAUCAGAGGAAGAAGUUCUAACUACUUUAAGUAAAAGAAGUGACACUUUAGAGAGUUUGACUCACCUCAUUCUAGUAUUCUAACUGUUAAUAAAAGUGCCUCUAAGUGAGAACAACAUUGUAACCACUAAGCUCUGUGCCUGAAUAAACUUGUUAUUGUUCCUCCAACAUCUAAGCCUCUGUCGCAUAUAUUAUAAACCAAGUUGCGUUACCAUUUAAAGUGAAUAAGAAUAAUAAAGAAAAAAUUAAUUAAAAGGUCUCCUCUCUUAGUCUUUGGUGGUUGCAUCUUCGCAGCUGUAUUCUCAAUUUGCUUUUGAUGCAACAAAUAAAUAAAGGAGCUAUCCAAGGUGACAUCCAAGAUAAGCUCAGUCACCUUGGAUAGCUCCCUGGAAACCUAAAGAAAAACAUGCAUACCUCACAAACUCACAACCUCUGAGGAUGCCUGCCAUAGAUGUGGGCGAAAUGUCGGGAGGGAAUACUUCUGGAACAUGGCCAUACAGCCUGGAAAACACACAACAACCCAAACAUGCAGUUGUCUCAGAAGGAUAAUGACAUGGAU
rnacentral:lncRNA from 1 species